CCCUUAGACGUUCUGGGCCGCACGCGCGCUACACUGACCAGUGCAACAAGCAUCCGUCCUUGGCCGACUGGCCCGGGCAAUCUUUGAACGCUGGUCGUGAUGGGGAUAGACUUUUGCAAUUUUUGGUCUUCAACGAGGAAUUCCUAGUAAACGCAAGUCAUCAACUUGCAUUGAUUACGUCCCUGCCCUUUGUACACACCGCCCGUCGCACCUACCGAUUGAAUGGUCCGGUGAAGCCUCCGGAUUGGCGCGCACCUCGGUGCCGCCGAGAAGUUGGCUAAACCUUACCAUUUAGAGGAAGGUGAAGUCGUAACA
rnacentral:rRNA from 1 species